rnacentral:rRNA from 1 species
GUUAUCCACGGCNCAAAUUAGGUUUACCAGGUGACUACAAGUUUGUUCNUAAAAGUUAAAGGAUCUGGCGGACUUACACGAAACGUACAGGGGAAUCUGGGUGUUAAAGGACGAUCCGCCUACAUUUGCUCCUUGUUUUAGCUGCUGCACAUGUAUGGCCGUUUUCAACUAUUGUUCGUAAGACAUGUGUGCAGAGGGCUUAAACAAUGACUUAAGGGUAGGUGUUUUUAUUCGCUUAACUUUAAUGUUAUUGUUAUAGCCACGAAAUGCAGGUUGUCAUUUGGCUACUAACAAGGCUAGCCUGGAUUACAGUUGAAAAUGAGCAAAUCGGAUUUAUCAAUUAAGAAAUUUAAUACAUGAAGGCGGACUUGUAAGUAAAAUUGGUAAAUAAUACCAAUUUGAACGAAGUGUAGUAGNACAAA